UUUUGGGGUCUCUGAGUUUCUGGGGUGCUCUGUAGGGUUUAUUGGUUAUGCCCCCGCCCUGUGGGGUCUGGUGGAACGGUGGCACUUUCGGGACGACGACGACGAUCAAUUGUUCUACACCCACCUGUACCUGGACCCCCAGAUCAGGGACGAGCUGGGCCUGGCCCUGGAUCACCAUUCCCAAAUUUUCCAGAACCUCAACGGGGCCCUGGAUGAGGUCGUGAUCAAAUUCGAGCCGGGCGGGAACCGAGUGCGGAACGUGAGAUACGAAACCCUGCCCGUGGUGAUCCAUGGGAAUGGGCCCACAAAGGUACCCAAAACCCCCAGAAU